rnacentral:miRNA from 1 species
AUCCCUGUAAGGGGAGAUGCAGGGAGCCAUGCCGAAUGAUGCUUGGAUUCAAGUCUCUUUGUACUUUCACUACCCAG